GACUGUGUAGCUCAGUUGGAAGAGCAUUGGGCUAGUAUUCCAAAGGUCGUAGGUUUGAUUCCCACCAUGGCCU
rnacentral:tRNA from 1 species